AGGGCUCCCUCUGUACCCAGCUAAGUCUUGUGAGAAGUAUCAUAGAGGCUUGAAAAAUGUUCCUUAUCCUUAAAUGGCUUUGACCUGGACUUACAGAUCAGAAUAGGAAAAGACAAGUGAAAUGAUAAAAAUGUAAAUAUAUCCUCCUUGGAUAAUACCAUGUAACUAACAUUUAGAGGAAGGAUAAAUGAAUGUGGGCUUCCUGGAAAAACGGUGUGUGUGUGUGUGUGUGUGUGUGUAUGUGUGUGUGUUUGUGUAUGUGUGUGUGUUUGUGUGUGCACAUGUGAGUUUUGGGCAUGGGUAGAAUUCGAAUGAAUGGGAGGGGUAUAGUUCUUUUAGAGGGAAAUAGCCUGUCCAAAGAUUAGGAUAAAGUAUUAUCAAUGCAUGCUAGGACUAGGGAGAUAUUUGGAAAACCAGCCUGAUUUCCUUGAAUCAUGUGGGCAAAACAGGCUUUGCAUAUCACUGUCUGAUUACCCUGUAAUACUAACUGCAAAAAAAUAACAAUAAUAAAAAUAGGUAGUAUCAUGUCUAAGUUAUUUAGAUUAAUAUUUACAACUUUAUGUGUUAUUUCACUUUACAGAUGAGAAACUUAUUCUUAGGAAGAAUAAAUGGCCAGCCAAAAUUAUAUGCUAAAACAUGGGAGAGGUGGGCUUUGACUGACUCUAGAGCUGAUACCCCACUCUGCCUCUGCCUGCACAGACAAGUCAAGGGCAGUUUACAAAAUUGCCUUAAUCUCUGCUCUCUAGCAGAGAGAAAGGAACUAACAUUUAUUGUACAUUUAUAAACAGCUUAAGCACACAAAGAAGGAAACAGACCCUGAGCCAUACAAUUUCCUAUGUUUCUCUAAUUCUUUCAUGAAUAUUUGUCUCUUGUAUUCAAUAAAGUCCUAAGUAAGCAGUAUGAUGUAGUGAAAUGAGCACGGAUACUGGAAUCGGUAAGUCUUUUUUAUUCCAGUCCUGCUUGGUAUUUUAUGACUUUGGCCACUUCACUUUCCAAUCUCAGCUUCCUGAUAUUCCUUUCCCUCAUAGACUUGGGGUAUAAAACCAACCUUGCCUGAUUGUUAAAAUGUGAUAAUGUGGACUGUUUAUCAAGCACAGGAUGUCUGGUUUUAAUUAUUAUGAUUCCUUUGUUUCCCACGUAGAGAAAAGCCCAGCUCAUAUUUUACUGUAGGCCAUUAAUUAAUGGAAUCCCAACCACUGAGGCAUUAUAACAGGAGGAGUUGCUUUCUAUUUGUUUUGUUUUAUAGUCACACAUAUACACGUCAGUUUCACCAAAGAACUGGGACUCAGGAGCGAAGACUAUGGUUAAUUUGGUUGCAUACUUCCUCUCUCACCUAGGUAGAAUUUCUUAGGACAUGGUCCUCCAAAAGAGCCCCUUUUGCAGAUGCUGUUUUGGGGUCUUUCGUCUUCUGAUACAUGUGUAAUGUGAAUUUCAAGAUGUUAAUCAUUUUUCACAAUUGUCACUUCAGUGUGUUUAUUACAUCUUAUUAUAGAAUACUUCCUUUUGAUAAUUCUCCAAACUGGAUGACCACAUGGUUCUGUACAGCUCCUUCUAAGGCUUGUCUCAUUUCAGCUAAUUAUGCACUUAGAUAAUCAGUCACUGUCCAGUCUCCAAACAAAUACAUUUCUAGGAAUUUGUGCUCUCAAGAGUCAAAUGGACAUUCCUUCAUUAACGAAGAUGUGGUAUUAGCUUUAAGUGGCCUUUCUUCUAUUAUUGAAGAUAAGUACAAGAAAUAAGUAUAGGAAAAUUUAAAAAGGAGCUAACGUCAUUCUUAGUUUUCAAAGCUUUUUGAGUGAAACAGCUCUAGCUGUAGAAGAAGGGACUCUAGGGAAAACAACAACAAAAUAACACAAUGAAAAAUACAAAGGAAAUAUAAUUAACAACAAUCAAAAUCUUCGUGACUCUUUUCCCACCUGCCCAUGUAGAAUCUCAGCUUUUUCAUAGUUUUCAUUGUUUUUCUGGGAGUUCCCAGUGGAUUUGUCACAUGAGCUUGAGAAAAAUCUCAUCUUGAAGGUGGUACUGCUGCUGUGUUGCUAGGCAUCUGCUGUGUGCCAUUUUUUUGAGGCCCAACUUAUACUUAAAGCACCAAAUCCAUUUAGACUCCAAAACUGUGCAAUGUGCAUUUGUAACACGUGGGUGAAUACUCCAUCCUAUUAGUGCUACUUCCAAUGAUAGAGUUUCCAAAUCAGCAAUAAUGGUGUCCCAGUUUCUCACAGUUCUUGGUGAAACUUCUCAGGGUUUCUGCUGUGGCACUUGUCCAACAUCAUAGGAUCCCUCCUUCUGAGGACUGUGAUGUUUCCUGUAAGCCUAAAGCACAUUUUUAUAGUCUUUAUUUGCUCCACAUCUCAAUUAAUAUAUACACUUCUAUAGAUCUCAUGCUAUAUUUAAAAUAGAACUUAUAAAACAAUUACUUAGUAUACCUGUCCUGAACUGGCCACACCAUAACAAGAUAGAUAUUUUAAAAUAGAUAUAUCCACACGAAUCAUCAAAAUUGAAAUUGUGACAAUAAGUUUACAUGCCAUCAUGUCGAAACAUCUGUGAAUAUAGGGCACUGCCUUGGAUUUCCCAUCUAAACAAGAACCACACAUUUCCAAAAAAAAAAAAAAAAAUAGUUGCCAUCAAUUCACAUUAAUUAUUAAUCUUUACUGAUUUUGAAUACAAGAAUAUUGUCUUCAUUUUCCAAAUGUGGAAAAGAAAGUUCAUGAAAUGAUAUAUAACGGAAAUGAAGCUAGAGUAAUGAUUCAGACCUUUGCGUGCCAAAACUUAUGCUUUCUUUACUGUAGCUGAAUGAUCUCUACAGCUUUUAUGGACUUCUUGUUCUCUAAGUCUAUUCCUUCAAUCAACAAGUAUGUGUUGAGCAUCAUCUGUGUGACAAGCAUUGUGCUAGGUGCUUGAGAUAGAAUUUCUUGCUCUCAGGGAGUUUAACUUGAAACUGAUGAGUGGGGAAUUACAAGGUGGGAGAUGUAAUAGCAAACAAUACAUAGAAAGAUAAAUAAAUUCAGAUACAUUUUUAAAGUGUAAAAUUAUUAAAGAUGGUGGAGGAUGUGGAAUGAUGGGUACACAAUUGCCUAUAACUUAGUGGUUAAAGAGAACAGUAGAAGAUGAGGCCUGAGCGUUAACCUGGACCACCUCAUAUAAGAUCUUACAGGUCAUGGUAAAAAGCUUUAAAAUUUUUUUCUUAAAGCAACUGGGGUAUUUUAGGGAAAUGGUAUCAUCUGAUUUACAUUUUAAUAGAUUACUUUGGCUAUUGUGUAGAAAUAAAUUGGCUGGGGCAAAAGCAAAAGUAGAUAAACCAGUUAGAAAUACAUUCCAUCAUUCAGACAAAAAAAAUGUAGUGUUUUGGGCUAUGGUAAUAGCCGUGGCUAUAAUUCUUUAUAAUCCCAGAAGUUUCUGUAUUAUUCUUGUUUUUCUAAAAUAUUUAAGUACACAGAAGUUGGGCACUUUCUGGCUCUAAUGAAAUCAUUUCUUCAAAAACUGUUGCCAACUUCAAUUCAUUCGCUGAGCAUGAAGGAACACAUGGGUGCACUGGGCAGCUUUUCUUCAAUCCAUUCCCUCCUGACAACCCUCUUCAGCCCAUCACAUAUAGGGAAGAUGGGUUUCUUUCUCUGUCCCCCAAGGAAAUUCCUUUGCUUUUUUAUAUAUUUUAUUGUCCUAAUUUCUGAGGCACUUAUUUUUAAACACUGACAGAUUUAGAAGAGAAAGAUAG
rnacentral:lncRNA from 10 species